CAGUCGCCGCGGGAAAACGGAGGGUGCAAGCGCUGUCCGGAUUUAUUGGGUUUAAAGGGUGCGUAGGCGGCCUAAUAAGUCAGUGGUGAAAGCCUCCAGCUUAACUGGAGAACUGCCAUUGAUACUGUUAGGCUUGAGUAUACUUGAGGUAGGCGGAAUUGACAGUGUAGCGGUGAAAUGCAUAGAUAUUGUCAAGAACACCAAUUGCGAAGGCAGCCCCCUGGGCCAAUACUGACGCUCAUGCACGAAAGCGUGGGGAGCAAACAGGAUUAGAUACCCCCGUAGUCCCUGUCUCUUAUAC
rnacentral:rRNA from 1 species